rnacentral:rRNA from 1 species
UACGUAGGGUGCGAGCGUUAAUCGGAAUUACUGGGCGUAAAGCGUGCGCAGGCGGUUAUUUAAGACAGGUGUGAAAGCCCCGAGCUUAACUUGGGAAUUGCGCUUGUGACUGGCGUGCUGGAGUGUGGCAGAGGGAGGUGGAAUUCCACGUGUAGCAGUGAAAUGCGUAGAGAUGUGGAGGAACACCGAUGGCGAAGGCAGCCUCCUGGGCCAGCACUGACGCUCAUGCACGAAAGCGUGGGGAGCAAACAGG